GACGAACGCUGGCCGCUCGCCUAACACAUGCAAGUCGAACGAGCGAGAGAGAGCUUGCUUUCUUGAGCGAGUGGCGAACGGGUGAGUAACGCGUGAGGAACCUGCCUCAAAGAGGGGGACAACAGUUGGAAACGACUGCUAAUACCGCAUAAGCCCACGACCCGGCAUCGGGUUGAGGGAAAAGGAGCAAUCCGCUUUGAGAUGGCCUCGCGUCCGAUUAGCUGGUUGGUGAGGUAACGGCCCACCAAGGCGACGAUCGGUAGCCGGACUGAGAGGUUGAACGGCCACAUUGGGACUGAGACACGGCCCAGACUCCUACGGGAGGCAGCAGUGGGGAAUAUUGCACAAUGGGGGAAACCCUGAUGCAGCGACGCCGCGUGGAGGAAGAAGGUCUUCGGAUUGUAAACUCCUGUUGUUGAGGAAGAUAAUGACGGUACUCAACAAGGAAGUGACGGCUAACUACGUGCCAGCAGCCGCGGUAAAACGUAGGUCACAAGCGUUGUCCGGAAUUACUGGGUGUAAAGGGAGCGCAGGUGGGAAGACAAGUUGGAAGUGAAAUCUAUGGGCUCAACCCAUAAACUGCUUUCAAAACUGUUUUUCUUGAGUAGUGCAGAGGUAGGCGGAAUUCCCGGUGUAGCGGUGGAAUGCGUAGAUAUCGGGAGGAACACCAGUGGCGAAGGCGGCCUACUGGGCACCAACUGACGCUGAGGCUCGAAAGUGUGGGUAGCAAACAGG
rnacentral:rRNA from 1 species